rfam:Bombyx mori DNA, contig: Bm_scaf1038_contig45167, strain: p50T/Dazao, build 2, whole genome shotgun sequence.
UUAACUCAAAUUUGUAUGGAGUUGGAAUGUUGCUUACGUUUGCCGCUAGGGGCGCUGUUCUAACUGCAUGCAAAUUUGAGUUA